rnacentral:misc_RNA from 1 species
AUGAGAAACAUCACAAUAAUUAUUUUGGUCCAUUUGCCUAGCUUGGGUUGGUCUAACAGCUAAAAGCAUAUCAUUCAUCUGUAAGUGCUAAGUUCAAGUUCCUACUCUCCUAAUCCCUAUUUGGUUCAUUUAUUAGUUCUUUCCUUGUAAAUUUAUGGAGAUUUAAAAAUGACUUUCUAUUUUUAAAAAUGACUUUCUAUUUUAAAAGUAAGAAAUCAUUUUUCUUGAAGAUGAACGAUUUUGACCAAGAAAAAUCAUUGGUCAAUUCUCCUAUACACACCAAAAAUCAGAUAUAUGGAUAAUGUUUUCCAAAAAAUUAUUUAUCGUAAAAUAGACAAGAGUCCUAAAAGUGCAGCUAGCUCUCACUUCAGAACACAAACUAAAAGGAGAUACUAAUAAAUAAAAUUUAAACUAAUAAUUAAGACAACCAUUAACUUAUGCAGUUUUAUCUAGUAGAACAAGUGAAUUGGCAUGAGACAGAUUGAAAAAAGAAUUAUAGAAACAUUAAUGAACUUCAAAUACCUCCUGACGUACACAUCGCCUCAA